rnacentral:lncRNA from 10 species
GCUAAUUUUUUCAUAUUUUUAGUAAAGACAGGGUUUCACUGAAUUGGUCAGGAUGGUCUCGAACUCCCGGCCUCAGGUGAUCCGCCCACCUCGGCCUCCCAAAGCGCUGGGAUUACAGGUGCGAGCCACUGUGCCCACACCAAUUUUUUUAAAUUUAUGCCUCAUGCCACCAGCUUGGGUAGAUGAACCUGGCCUCCUUCCCUCCAGCCCUGAUGGCCACAGGCAGAAUCUUGUCGGUGCCCUGCAGUUCACUCCUCGGGGCUGAGGCACCACCUCGUCAUCUUCAUCUGCCCGGGGGAGCCAUGGUAAUUCUCCUCUAGCGACAACCACAGCUCAAGCACCAUAGGCAGAUUCUGCACCCUGAGUCAAGGGCAUGGUGAUUCUAGAGCUCUACUCGUGCCCCUAUGCAUUAGCCAAAGGCAACAAGUGACUCGACCUCAUCCACAUCCAGAUGUCUGGGUCAAUGCAGUGGAAGGAAGGGGUCAGUGAAGAGGCUGUUGGCAAAAACAGCCAAAGAAGUGCAGUCAUCACAAAAGGAGACAAAAUUUGUGUGUGGGCUCUGAAGAACAGUGCUGUGGAAGGAACCAUUAGAGAUGGCCAGUGUGACUGCUGGGAUUUAGGCCUAGAGAGCGGGAGAAACAGGCCAGGGUCAUGAGUCCUGGCUCCACACAGUCUCUCCACCCUGACCCAGCUCCAGCAUCAAACUUCAGCUGCUACAGAGAAGGCCAGGUGUAUGGAGCAAACAAAGCCUGCAGCCUGGGAGAUUAGGAACCACUCCUAACAAUGGACUUAAUAACAUCACAUUCAUCACCUGAUUGGAUUCUUCCAACAUGAAGCUCACAGAAGUUCUCUCCCUAGUACCGUCCUGAUUACUCUGAGACCUCCUGGGGACAGGGUCCAAGCCCAAGUCUUCUUCAAGAACACAGGAAAUGGCCCACAGGGGGUUCUCUGGCAAUGUACAGCUAACUCUGCUUCUCAUGUUGUGUACUUCUCAUGUUGAAACUGUUACACACUUUCCAGGUACUAAUUCACUUGGUCCUCGCCACCCACCCUGCAAUCUAGGUAUUACUGUAACUCUCAUUUUACACAAUACAAAACUGAGCUCAUAAAGACUUAACAAGCUAC